UACGGAGGGGGCUAGCGUUGUUCGGAAUUACUGGGCGUAAAGCGCGCGUAGGCGGUUUUGUAAGUCGGGUGUGAAAUCCCCAAGCUUAACUUGGGAACUGCAUUCGAGACUGCAUAGCUAGAGUAUGGGAGAGGGAAGUGGAAUUUCAGGUGUAGCGGUGAAAUGCGUAGAUAUCUGAAGGAACAUCAGUGGCGAAAGCGACUUCCUGGACCAAUACUGACGCUCAUGUGCGAAAGCGUGGGGAGCAAACAGG
rnacentral:rRNA from 1 species